rnacentral:rRNA from 1 species
UGGGGAAUUUUGGACAAUGGGCGCAAGCCUGAUCCAGCCAUGCCGCGUGCGGGAAGAAGGCCUUCGGGUUGUAAACCGCUUUUGUCAGGGAAGAAAUCUUCUGAGUUAAUACCUCGGGAGGAUGACGGUACCUGAAGAAUAAGCACCGGCUAACUACGUGCCAGCAGCCGCGGUAAUACGUAGGGUGCAAGCGUUAAUCGGAAUUACUGGGCGUAAAGCGUGCGCAGGCGGUUUUGUAAGACAGAGGUGAAAUCCCCGGGCUCAACCUGGGAACUGCCUUUGUGACUGCAAGGCUUGAGUGCGGCAGAGGGGGGAUGGAAUUCCGCGUGUAGCAGUGAAAUGCGUAGAUAUGCGGAGGAACACCGAUGGCGAAGGCAAUCCCCUGGGCCUGCACUGACGCUCACGCACGAAAGCGUGGGGAGCAAAACAGGAUUAGAUACCCUGGUAGUCCACGCCCUAAACGAUGUCAACUGGUUGUUGGGAAGGUUCCUUCUCAGUAACGUAGCUAACGCGUGAAGUUGACCGCCUGGGGAGUACGGCCGCAAGGUUGAAACUCAAAU